rnacentral:rRNA from 1 species
AUGGUGUAUGAAAUGGCAUCCUUGAAGACCUUGUUGUCGCCGUUCCUCGCCGGUGAUCUUGAGGGACAUAGCUUGAUUAAUAUAAUGGUGUGGCCUCUAUUGGUGAGCAGGGUCUGCUAUAAAAUCGAGAAGAAUACAGGGAGGAGUGAUGGGUCUGCACCUUUACCUCAACGGAAAACGAAGACAUUACCUCAACGGAAGGCGAGCGGUGUUCUGAAGAAACUGGAGAAGGACGAGUCGCUAGACUGGGACAAGUACAUGAAGUAUUCUCAGAGAGGAGCUCCAACUCAUGCCCUAGAGUGUGAGGAAGAAGCAGGGGGUGGUGGCCUUGGAGAGAAGGGUGGGCGCUUGCGGCGGUGGAGGAGCCACGCUUGCUGGCUGCAGUGUCUACUCGGGGUGGAGGUGGAGCGAAGCAGCGGUUUCGCGCAAGGCCUGGCUGAGGCCAGCGAGUUUAGGGGUUGCCGUGCCCUGCAUACUUGGCCAGGUUUUUGUGUUGCAAAAAACCAUUGCAUGAACAUGUGCCAGGCAUGGCCCAAACAAGAAAGUGAAAGGGGCGCUAUCCCACCUGGGACCGCCAAGGGAAGAGAGCCGCAGCCGCCUCGAGCAAUGGAGUCCGACUCCUCUUUUUCUCUCCGCACGCAACCUCUCCUUUCCUCUUCUCCUAGGGUUGCGUCGCCACCGCAGCCUACUCCGACGCCGUCCACUGGAGAAAGCGUUCUCCCCAGAUCCGCUUCUCCCCCAAACCAUCUCAUCUUCUUAUUCCACCCGGCUUCCAUGAUUGUUGCAGAGGAGGAGGAGGAAGGGGAUGGCAAAAUCUCGGGAGAGAAAAAAACCGGCAAGCAAGUGAGAAGGAUGUCAUGGCAGACGUACGUUGACGAGCCGCUGCUCUGCGACAUCGACGACCGGCGCCUCACCGCCGCCCCAUCCUCGGCCACGACGGCGCUGCCUGGGCACAGUCCGAGUCCUUCCCCGAGGUCCUCCUUCUUCGUUAAAUUAUCUACAUCUACUGCUCCCAUUGAUACUCCUUGUUCUGUUUUACUUAGUUUACCUGGUCAAUCUAUGUUUGACUUGACUGAGAUCUCGCUUGUCCGGGUGGCUGCGAGCUUGAUGAGUUGGAACGCUGCUGGUUGGAGGGGUGGGGGAGCGCCUAGAUUUCAAGUCAAACCUGAAGAACUUACUGCAGUAAUAAAUGACUUCGAUGAACCACCUACUUUGGCACCAACUGGAUUAUUCCUUGGUGGUACAAACGACAUCACGCUCAAGGCCGUCUUCGAGGACAUCGACAAGUUCUACCUCAUCAUGGAGCUCUGCAACGGCGGCCGCUUGCUGGACGAGAUGGCCAGGGACAUUAAGCCGGAAUAUAUUUUGCUCACCGGAAACAGGGAAGAUGAAACUAGCAGAUUUUGGAUAGGCAGCAUGAGUCACCAAUGCAAGCACGAAGCGGCUGCGAGCACGCCACCGGUGUUGGGUCGAUGGUGUCAUGCCUUAGCGGCCCCCUCUUCCCCGAGCUCCAGAUCCUUGGCACCAGCAGUGAGCUUGGCGACUAAACUUGGCGACAAGCUCCCCGUCUCUAUUCUCGUGCACUUCUUGCUGCAUGUAUCCUCCGUCUCUAUUCUUAGGAGACAUGCUGAAGAGUGUCUUCCUCUUGUUGCUUCGCAGGGCAUGUCAAGAACUGGCAGCCAAGGAUCUCCAUGGACUGAGUGGCAUUUCUUGGUGAUAUUACAAUUUGAGCAUUCGGUUUGA